GAUGAACGCUGGCGGCGUGCCUAAUACAUGCAAGUCGAGCGAACAGACGAGGAGCUUGCUCCUCUGACGUUAGCGGCGGACGGGAGAGUCACACGUGUAUAACCUACCUAUAAUACUGGGAUAUCUUCGAGAAACCGGCGCUAAUACCGGAUAAUAUAUUGAACCGCAUGGUUGAAUAGAGAAUGACGGUUUUGCUGUCACUUCUAGCUGCUUCUGCGCCGCAUUAGCUGGUAGGUAAGGUAACAGCUUACCAAGGCGACGAUGCGUAGACGACGUGUGAGGGUGAUCGGCGACAUGGGAGCGGGGACAGGGUCAAGACGACUACGGGAGGCAGCAGUAGGGAAUGUGACGCAGUGGGCGAAAGCCUGACGGAGCAAGGCGGAGUGAGUGAUGAAGGCCUCCGGAGCGUAAAACUCUGUUAUGAGGGAAGAACAAAUGUGUAAGGAGCUAUGCCCGUCUUGACGGUACCUAAUCAGAAAGCCACGGCUAACUACGUG
rnacentral:rRNA from 1 species